ACAAAAAAGAACAGUCGCGGAUAAGGGAAAGAAAAAGAUAACCACUGCAAGGAAGGGAAAAAAAAAUUCAUGUCCAGUGCUAUCGUGAUUCUGAAGUUGGAACCAUUAAUGUUAUUCCGCUUAGGGUAACACAUCAGAAGGUAGUUUCUCUUUAUAGUAUAAGCUGCAAGCUGGGGUGUUUGGAUUUUUUGAGUUCUAAAUGGCCCUAACACAAAUUUGUGGAUGGUAAUUUUUUUUUAUCUACAACUUUUAUUAUUUGUCUUUCAAAGAUGCUCACUUUGUGUUUGUUAAAAUGCAUAUUUGACAGAGUGAAAAUAGUAGGGAGUGAAUUAAUUAUUUAUGCCAACUUUUGUGUAGCUCUCUUAUUUUUUGUUUUGGUUGACUUUGGAUAAACUUUGUGGUCCGACACUGCAAGAACACGCGACACGUCGAUAACACGUGGAGACAUGUCUGGACACGCCACAUAAGGUAUCCAUUACCAGGGGACAUGCUGAGGACACGACAAAGUGAAUUUAAAAGUUCUUAAAAGCUUUACCAGGAUAACAUAUGUAUCUUAAAAAGUAUUCCAAUUGGGAGUUUAUUUGUUGUGGACUUUGUUCCUCUUUCGUUUGAAUGGUAUUGUUUGAUCAGAUCA